GGGGUCGUAGUUAAAUUAACAUUUAAUUUGCAAUUAAAAAAUACUACUCAAUAAUAGUCUUCCUCA
rnacentral:tRNA from 1 species